rnacentral:rRNA from 1 species
UAGUCCAUGCCGUAAACGUUGGGCACUAGGUGUGGGGGACAUUCCACGUUUUCCGCGCCGUAGCUAACGCAUUAAGUGCCCCGCCUGGGGAGUACGGCCGCAAGGCUAAAACUCAAAGGAAUUGACGGGGGCCCGCACAAGCGGCGGAGCAUGCGGAUUAAUUCGAUGCAACGCGAAGAACCUUACCAAGGCUUGACAUGAACCGGAAAGACCUGGAAACAGGUCCCCCACUUGUGGUCGGUUUACAGGUGGUGCAUGGUUGUCGUCAGCUCGUGUCGUGAGAUGUUGGGUUAAGUCCCGCAACGAGCGCAACCCUCGUUCUAUGUUGCCAGCACGUGAUGGU